GACGAACGCUGGCGGCGUGCCUAACACAUGCAAGUUGAGCGACGAACCAGGGCUUGCCCUGGGGCAAAGCAGCGAACGGGUGAGUAACACGUGGGUAACCUACCCCGAUAACCGGGACAACCCGCGGAAACUCGGGCUAAUACCGGAUGUGCUCACUGGACUUCGGUUCAGUGCGUAAAGGAAGCUUCGGCCUCCGUAUCGGGAGGGGCCCGCGGCCCAUUAGUUUGUUGGUGAGGUAACGGCUCACCAAGACCGCGAUGGGUAGCUGGUCUGAGAGGACGAUCAGCCACACUGGGACUGAGACACGGCCCAGACUCCUACGGGAGGCAGCAGUGGGGAAUCUUGCGCAAUGCGCGAAAGCGUGACGCAGCAACGCCGCGUGGGGGAAGAAGGCCUUCGGGUUGUAAACCCCUUUCAGGAGGGACGAAGGUUCGGCGGUGAAUAGCCGUCCGGACUGACGGUACCUCCACAAGAAGCCCCGGCUAACUACGUG
rnacentral:rRNA from 1 species